UACCAUCCCCAGGCUCAGCCAAUGAGAGCAACACGCCCGCCCAUGGAGGGCGCUGAUUGGCCCGUGCAUCACCAUGGCAACUUCACUGCCAAUGGGCUCCCUUCCACGCAGGAGGCCUCGCAGGGGCCUCACAUCUGUCCUGCAUCCUGCAGGCAGUGUGAAGUGGACAGGUAAGCAGUCUUGGUGACUGAGUUUGUCGGCUUCCUCAUGCAGUGGUUUGUCCAGAGACGGUCCUGGGCUCUCUGCUCACCUCUACCCCAACAGCACAGGAUUCAAUGGCCAUGAUUCAGAGACUCAUAAAUAAAUCUUGUGAGAGACCAACCAGUUGCAGAGAUUCUUCUGGACCCCGCGUAAGGCUGAACUGUCCAGAGCACCCUGGAGAGGUGGGUGAGGCCCGCACCCGCCCAAACAGAGCCAGCUGAAAACCUCCACAGUCCACAAUUGCCACCAUGCUCCCGACGGGACCCCACUGCUUGGGAUGAGCCUUAUCCAGGAAUUAAUCUGCUGAAAACUCAGGCGACAUAUCAGUCUCAAGACAGACAGACGGACCCAGCGACAAACCGCUGCGUCUCUAAGGCACAGAAACACUCAGGACCCAGCAGGGCGGAAACGCCACGUGUCCAGAAGCGUGAGAGCCCCCAUCUGUGAACGCUGCCACCGGGGCAGAGGAAGCAGCAGCCAUCAGCGGGCACUUUCGACCCCAGACACUCGGAAAAGGAGUGAAAAAACAAUCGCAAAAGAGCCGCAAGAAAGGAAAUAAAGAGAGAAAUCAAUGGAACGGCAAACAGGAAAGUGAUCGAGAAAAUCAAUGAAACCAAAGAAGGUCUUUAAAGAAAUCAA